GUGGGGAAUUUUGGACAAUGGGCGAAAGCCUGAUCCAGCCAUGCCGCGUGCAGGAUGAAGGCCUUCGGGUUGUAAACUGCUUUUGUACGGAACGAAAAGACUCUGGUUAAUACCUGGGGUCCAUGACGGUACCGUAAGAAUAAGCACCGGCUAACUACGUGCCAGCAGCCGCGGUAAUACGUAGGGUGCAAGCGUUAAUCGGAAUUACUGGGCGUAAAGUGUGCGCAGGCGGUUAUAUAAGACAGAUGUGAAAUCCCCGGGCUCAACCUGGGAACUGCAUUUGUGACUGUAUAGCUAGAGUACGGCAGAGGGGGAUGGAAUUCCGCGUGUAGCAGUGAAAUGCGUAGAUAUGCGGAGGAACACCGAUGGCGAAGGCAAUCCCCUGGGCCUGUACUGACGCUCAUGCACGAAAGCGUGGGGAGCAAACAGGAUUAGAAACCCUAGUAGUCC
rnacentral:rRNA from 1 species